ACAGCAGUCGCCGCGGGAAUACGUAGGGUGCAAGCGUUAAUCGGAAUUACUGGGCGUAAAGCGUGCGCAGGCGGUUAUAUAAGUCAGAUGUGAAAUCCCCGGGCUCAACCUGGGAACUGCAUUUGAGACUGUAUGGCUAGAGUGUGUCAGAGGGGGGUAGAAUUCCACGUGUAGCAGUGAAAUGCGUAAAGAUGUGGAAGAAUACCGAUGGCGAAGGCAGCCUCCUGGGAUAACACUGACGUUGAGGCUCGAAAGCGUGGGGAGCAAACAGGAUUAGAUACCCGCGUAGUCCCUGUCUCUUAUAC
rnacentral:rRNA from 1 species